GUGGGGAAUUUUGGACAAUGGGCGAAAGCCUGAUCCAGCCAUGCCGCGUGCAGGAUGAAGGCCUUCGGGUUGUAAACUGCUUUUGUACGGAACGAAAAGACUCCUUCUAAUAAAGGGGGUCCAUGACGGUACCGUAAGAAUAAGCACCGGCUAACUACGUGCCAGCAGCCGCGGUAAUACGUAGGGUGCAAGCGUUAAUCGGAAUUGCUGGGCGUAAAGCGUGCGCAGGCGGUUAUAUAAGACAGAUGUGAAAUCCCCGGGCUCAACCUGGGAACUGCAUUUGUGACUGUAUAGCUAGAGUACGGUAGAGGGGGAUGGAAUUCCGCGUGUAGCAGUGAAAUGCGUAGAUAUGCGGAGGAACACCGAUGGCGAAGGCAAUCCCCUGGACCUGUACUGACGCUCAUGCACGAAAGCGUGGGGAGCAAACAGGAUUAGAAACCCUUGUAGUCC
rnacentral:rRNA from 1 species